rnacentral:rRNA from 1 species
CAGAAGGAGGCACCGGGCUAAAUUCCGUGCCCGGCAGCCGCGGUAAUUCCGGAGGGUGCGAGCGUUAAUCGGAAUUACUGGGCGUAAAGCGCAUGCAGGCGGCUUGUUAAGCCAGAUGUGAAAGCCCGGGGCUCAACCUUGGAAUCGCAUUUGGAACUGGCAGGCUAGAGUCUUGUAGAGGGGGGUAGAAUUUCAGGUGUAGCGGUGAAAUGCGUAGAGAUCUGAAGGAAUACCGGUGGCGAAGGCGGCCCCCUGGACAAAGACUGACGCUCAGAUGCGAAAGCGUGGGGAGCAAACAGGAUUAGAUACCCUGGUAGUCCACGCCGUAAACGAUGUCUACUUGGAGGUUGGUGUCUUGAACACUGGCUUUCGGAGCUAACGCGUUAAGUAGACCGCCUGGGGAGUACGGUCGCAAGAUUAAAACUCAAAUGAAUUGACGGGGGCCCGCACAAGCGGUGGAGCAUGUGGUUUAAUUCGAUGCAACGCGAAGAACCUUACCUACUCUUGACAUCCACGGAAUCCUGCAGAGAUGCGGGAGUGCCUUCGGGAACCGUGAGACAGGUGCUGCAUGGCUGUCGUCAGCUCGUGUUGUGAAAUGUUGGGUUAAGUCCCGCAACGAGCGCAACCCUUAUCCUUGUUUGCCAGCACUUCGGGUGGGAACUCCAGGGAGACUGCCGGUGAUAAACCGGAGGAAGGUGGGGACGACGUCAAGUCAUCAUGGCCCUUACGAGUAGGGCUACACACGUGCUACAAUGGCAUAUACAGAGGGCAGCAAGACCGCGAGGUGGAGCGAAUCCCACAAAGUAUGUCGUAGUCCGGAUUGGAGUCUGCAACUCGACUCCAUGAAGUCGGAAUCGCUAGUAAUCGUGGAUCAGAAUGCCACGGUGAAUACGUUCCCGGGCCUUGUACACACCGCCCGUCACACCAUGGGAGUGGGCUGCACCAGAAGUAGAUAGCUUAACCUUCGGGAGGGCGUUACCAUCGGUGUGUCUGCCCGCAC